rnacentral:ncRNA from 2 species
AUAUUUUAAGGGCAAACCUGCUGAAAAGCAGGGACGCAAAGUUUGGAGUCUAAGGUAUUGAUUACUAGGACCGUUCAACUGCUAUG